AACGAACGCUGGCGGCAUGCCUAACACAUGCAAGUCGAACGAGACCUUCGGGUCUAGUGACGCACGGGUUCGUAACGCGUGGGAACCUGCCCUUAGGUUCGGAAUAACUCCCCGAAAGGGGUGCUAAUACCGGAUAAUGUCUUCGGACCAAAGAUUUAUCGCCUUUGGAUGGGCCCGCGUUGGAUUCGCUAGUUGGUAGGGUAAAAGCCUACCAAGGCGACGAUCCAUAGCUGGUCUGAGAGGAUGAUCAGCCACACUGGGACUGAGACACGGCCCAGACUCCUACGGGAGGGAGCAGUGGGGAAUAUUGGACAAUGGGCGAAAGCCUGAUCCAGCAAGGCCGCGUGAGUGAUGAAGGCCUUAGGGUUGUAAAGCUCUUUUACCCGGGAUGAUAAUGACAGUACCGGGAGAAUAAGCUCCGGCUAACUCCGUG
rnacentral:rRNA from 1 species